rnacentral:rRNA from 1 species
CGAACGGCACCUUCGGGUGUAGUGGCGGACGGGUGAGUAACGCGUGGGAAUAUGCCCUUCUCUACGGAAUAGCCCAGGGAAACUUGGAGUAAUACCGUAUACGCCCUUCGGGGGAAAGAUUUAUCGGGGAAGGAUUAGCCCGCGUUGGAUUAGGUAGUUGGUGGGGUAAUGGCCUACCAAGCCGACGAUCCAUAGCUGGUUUGAGAGGAUGAUCAGCCACACUGGGACUGAGACACGGCCCAGACUCC